AAAAGGAAACGAAAUAGAUGUCUUGUCGAUUCCAAAGUAUAUAUAUCUUCUCCAUCCCGCUCUCAGAUUUCCCAUCCGCCACAGCUCAAUCACAGAACAGCAAUGGCUUCUUCUUCUUCUUCUUCAGCAGCUCAACGCUUCCUCUGUUUUUCCCUUGCUCUGUUUCUCUUCUCUUCUUUCUCCUCUGCUCUCAGAUACCCGCCUUCUUCUUCUUCUUCUUCUUCUUCUUCUUCUUC
rnacentral:lncRNA from 1 species